UUAGAAAUGCAUAAGAACGACAAAUGUGUGAUCUUUUUUGUCACAGUUGUCAACAGA
rnacentral:sRNA from 1 species